rnacentral:rRNA from 1 species
GAUGAACGCUGGCGGCGUGCUUAAUACAUGCAAGUCGAACGGAGACUGUAGCAAUACAUCCUUAGUGGCGAACGGGUGAGUAACGCGUUGGUGACCUGCCCCGAAGUGCGGGAUAACAGUCCGAAAGGAUUGCUAAUACCGCAUGGUUUCAUUUGGAUUAGAUGCCAGAUGAGCAAAGGCGAAAGUCGCUUCGGGAGGGGCUUGCGUCCCAUCAGCUAGUUGGUAGGGUAAUGGCCUACCAAGGCAAUGACGGGUAGGGGACCUGAGAGGGUGGCCCCCCACAAUGGAACUGAAACACGGUCCAUACACCUACGGGUGGCAGCAGUAGGGAAUAUUGGUUAAUGUGCGAAAGCGCGAACCAGCAACGCCGCGUGCACGAUGAAGGCCUUCGGGUUGUAAAGUGCUUUUUGAGGGGAUGAGGAAGGACAGUACCCUCAGAAUAAGUCUCGGCCAACUACGUG